rnacentral:rRNA from 1 species
UACGAAGGUCCCAAGCGUUAUCCGGAUUUAUUGGGUUUAAAGGGUGCGUAGGCGGAUUAUUAAGUCAGUGGUGAAAGCCCCAGGCCUAACCUGGGAAUUGCCAUUGAUACUGAUGAUCUUGAGUACAUUUGAGGAGGGCGGAAUGUGUCAUGUAGCGGUGAAAUGCUUAGAUAUGACAUAGAACACCAAUUGCGUAGGCAGCUUACUACACGAUCAUUGACGCUGAGGCACGAAAGCGUGGGGAGCAAACAGG